rnacentral:rRNA from 1 species
UGGGGAAUUUUGGACAAUGGGGGAAACCCUGAUCCAGCCAUCCCGCGUGUGCGAUGAAGGCCUUCGGGUUGUAAAGCACUUUUGGCAGGAAAGAAACGUCGCGGGUUAAUACCCCGCGAAACUGACGGUACCUGCCAGAAUAAGCACCGGCUAACUACGUGCCAGCAGCCGCGGUAAUACGUAGGGUGCAAGCGUUAAUCGGAAUUACUGGGCGUAAAGCGUGCGCAGGCGGUUCGGAAAGAAAGAUGUGAAAUCCCAGAGCUUAACUUUGGAACUGCAUUUUUAACUACCGGGCUAGAGUGUGUCAGAGGGAGGUGGAAUUCCGCGUGUAGCAGUGAAAUGCGUAGAUAUGCGGAGGAACACCGAUGGCGAAGGCAGCCUCCUGGGAUAACACUGACGCUCAUGCACGAAAGCGUGGGGAGCAAACAGGAUUAGAUACCCUGGUAGUCCACGCCCUAAACGAUGUCAACUAGCUGUUGGGGCCUUCGGGCCUUGGUAGCGCAGCUAACGCGUGAAGUUGACCGCCUGGGGAGUACGGUCGCAAGAUUAAAACUCAAAGGAAUGAC